GGAGUUCCGGGUUUGUAGCCCAUAGAUACAUACAUACAAGAGUACUAAAGAGGAUUCUUUUUGUGUCUUCAGAACCCUUGGAGUUUUGCUCUCAGAGUCUGUACACACACACACACACACACACACACACCCCGCGUCACAUCACAAAAGCUGGGAGGUAGCCUUAUGACUUCAGACACACGCAUCAAUCAUAAUUGCGGCAGCGCCAGCAGCCAUGUGACUGUGUAAAGACCUCAACAGCCUUCUGGCACUUAAGGGGGAGAAAAAAGCAUCUAAUUAAUCACAGGUGAAACAGCUUGGGCUGACUCCAAACGCCCCUGAAUUGACUGCCAAGCUUUGAUGCUAAUUUUCUUUCUAAGUAACCCCCUAAAGAAAUUUACAAUUAGCCACAGUUGGUGUGCUUUGGGGCGGGGGCAAUAGUCUGUCUACUUGAGCUGACUGGAUAAUAUUACUGGAUUUCUACAACUGGGUUUCAUGUGGAGAUUUCAUCUUCCUCCAAUUCCUCAUGCUUCUGCUGGGAUUUGAUGAGACACCCUAAUCAAGCUGUCAGAGCGAGCGCCACCGGAAGCAGGCUGCCCUCGGAGGAGCAGAUGCCCAGAAGACAGUUUUCUUCUGUAGUCCAGGUCAGCCGGCCAGCUGUGGACAGAGGCUAAGCCUGACCUGUCACUGGAGCUUUGUACAGCCAAGGAGCUUCAAGGAAGAAACUUUAAUGGCUCAGCCCAACCAUUAAAACUAACAUUUCCGAAGCAAGAAGAAAAGUAACUGGAAAUCGGGAAAUCCCUGAAGAAAUUUUCUGGACAAAGCGGUGGCCUCCGUUGAGACUCAAAGCAUAGAAGACGAGUUCUCUGCCGUGUCACAGGGAUAAACCGCCUACUUCUGAGAGCUACUGAUUUCAUAAGCCACUGGAGAGAAGUUCACCAGGUCCCAGCAGCAAAAGCAGUGUAAACAGCUCACGCUUUCAGAAGCUGGCACAGGCUAUCAGCUGGGAUUCCCUUCACUGUUACUGUC